AAUCCUCUCCCAUUUCAAAAAUUAAAGAAGAAAAAAAGAUGAAUAAUUAAUGAAGAAGAAGAAUAAUAGAUGAAGAAGAUGAAGAUGAUGAUUGAGAAGGAGAUGAAGAAAAUGAAGGAGAAAAAAGAUGAAGAUCUAAACAGUAUAAGAAGAUGAAGAAGAAGACGAAGAUGAUUAUGGAGAAGGAAGAAGAAGAAGAAGAAAAGAAGAAGAUGAUUAGAAAGAAUCAAGAACAACGAACGAAGAGCAACAAACGAAAAAUGUCUGCAUUUUUGUUAUUAGACGAAAAGGCUAACAUUGGAUUAUAUCCUCUAUUAAUUUUAAUAGCGGAUGAAAUAUGCUGUUAGAAUUUCUACAGUUACUUAUUCUAACAGCGAAUUUUGUUCUACCGUUAGGAUUACUACAAGAAUAAGGUCUUCAAAAUGAUGAUGAGGGGAUGGUCCUUAUUCAAAGAUUUGACGUCAUUAAGAUAGGGGUGUCUUUCAAAUAAGGUGUGCACACCCUACGUGUUUAGGGUGUGCAUUUGUGCCAACUUCAAAAGGGGCAAUAAGGGUAGUGGUUGACUAAAGAAGUCAUGUAAUAUGCUCUCGAUUGUCUUCAGAAAUGUAAUUUUUCAUAAGGCUUUCUACGUAUUUAUAAGCGUUGGUCUCUCCUGAAUAUGGCUUGAGCAAGCAACAUGAUGGAAAUACUAAGGCAUAUAGUGUGUGUACUAGUCAUACCUAUGCAUUUCCACUAUCUUAUUCUUUUUAUAGAAAAUAUUCAUGAUUUAGUUUUUAACGAAGGAUUAUUAUCUCAAGA
rnacentral:lncRNA from 1 species